rnacentral:rRNA from 1 species
GGGAUAGAAUUCCAGGAGUAUCGGUGAAAUGCGUAGAUAUCUGGAGGAAUACCAAAGGCGAAGGCAGUCCCCUGGUCCGAUACUGACACUGAGGUACGAAAGCGUGGGGAGCAAACAGGAUUAUAUACCCUGGUAGUCCACUCCCUAAACGAUGUCUAUUAGCCAUUGGAAGGACCCCUUUUCCUUUCAGUGACGUAGCUAACGCGUUAAAUCGACCGCCUGGGAAGUACGACCGCAAGGUUAAAACUCAAAGGAAUUGACGGGGACCUGAACAAGCGGUGAAUGAUGUGGAUUAAUUCGAUGCUACGCGAAGAACCUUACCUACCUUUGACAUGGCCAAAGUUCUACCGAGAGGCGGAAGUACUCGUAAGAGGAAUUGGCGCACAGGUGCUGCAUGGUUGUCGUCAGUUCGUGUUGUGAGAUGUUGGGUUCAGUCCCGCAACGCACGCAACCCUUAUCUUUAAUUGCUCCUAUUUUAACAGGCACUUUAAAGAAACUGCCAAUGAUAAGUUGGAGGAAGGUGGGGAUCACGUCAAGUCCGCAUGGCCUUUAUAGGUAGGGCUUCACACGUCAUACAAUGGUUAGAACAAAGAGCUGCAAAUUCGUAAGAAGGAGCCAAUCUCACAAACCUAACCUCAGUUCGAAUUGCGGUCUGCAACUCGAGCGCAUGAAGCCGGAAUCGCUAGUAAUCGUGGAUCAGAAUGCCACGGUGAAUACGUUCUUAGGUCUU